rnacentral:piRNA from 2 species
UUGUUCUGAGCGAACGUGUGCCCAA